rnacentral:rRNA from 1 species
GACGAACCGUGCAAACGUUAUUCGGAAUCACUGGGCUUAAAGGGCGCGUAGGCGGGCUCCCAAGUCGGUGGUGAAAUCUUUCGGCCCAACCGGAAAAGUGCCGCCGAUACUGGGAGCCUCGAGGGAGGUAGGGGUCGAGGGAACUUCCGGUGGAGCGGUGAAAUGCGUAGAUAUCGGAAGGAACGCCGGUGGCGAAAGCGCUCGACUGGACCUCUUCUGACGCUGAGGCGCGAAAGCCAGGGGAGCAAACGGG